rnacentral:pre_miRNA from 1 species
CACCUACUCUCUCCGUUCGGAAUUACUUGUCAUAGAAAUGGAUGUAUCUAGACGUAUUUUAGUUCUAGAUACAUUCAUUUUCAAGACAAGUAAUUCCGAACGGAGGGAGUAAAUG